rnacentral:lncRNA from 13 species
UUUCCAUCAGUUUGAACCAAAUCUGGCAUCAUUUAUACCUGCACAGAUAUUUGACUCUGUGGUCGGAAAUGGUUUGCUUCAACACCUGAGAUUUUUUUUUUCUUUUUAAUGAUCUUAUUUUAAUGGUUCGAUUUUGACAAAUCCGGAGUUCCUGCUGAAAGAGCUACAUGAGACACCUCAUUCCUCUAACUGGUGACAGGACUUUAUGAAGUCUGGGCUGGUACAAAAGCUAAGGCAAUUGUAAGAAAUGAGUAGGAGUUUUCAGUUUGGACCAGCCCUGAUGAGGUGACGGCCAGGGCAGACACAUCAUUCCUGUGAGUAGGGGAGGAAGGCUUCCUGGAGGAGGUGAUGCUUCAUGGCAGCAGGUAGACAAUGAGAAGAGAAGCAUCUGGGAGGACCUUCAGAAUGCAAGAGAAACACCAAGUUAAGACUGCAAUGAGUAGACAAAGGAGGCUUUGAAUAGAUUAUCCUGGGAGGAACUGAAAAAUAUGCAACGUGAAGGAACAGGGAGCCUGUGGUAGGGGUUAUGACCUAGUGAAGGACCUGGAACGGAGGCGAGAUCCCCCCAGCAGGUGGCAGGGAUCCCCAGUGUCACCGCAUCAGCAGACAAAAGCACCUUUCUAACUUGGCUGGGAAACAGGCAAAUUGCAGCAACAGAAAAGCCCAAGGUAGGAGGGAAGACUCUGAGUGUGCCCAGCCUACAGCCAGCAGAGCUUUGUUCCACGCGGAGCACGACACAUCCCAUCAAGGCUCCAGCCUGAUGCUGACUGAUCUGGAAAUCAAAUCCCCUCUGAACUGCAUCCUCUGGGGAUAGUUCAGACAUCCCCAUUUAAACAGCUUACAUAAAAGGGCUGGUGGGGGCCUGACAGGCUGACAAGUGAAGCUGCAGCACCCAAGAAACAGGUCAGCACAAGGUUCAUUUUCAGACUGGGCAGGGGGGUGUCCAUUUGACAGAAGAGAAACUGGAGGGAAAAGAAAGCAGACAUUCCCUGGGAGAAGGUAUUCCAGGGUCUCUCUGGGGUUGCACAGGCCCUGCUAACAGGCCCCCAAUGGUCUGGGCUCCCCACUGAAAGAAGACACUGGACCGUAGCCACCUGUUAUUUCCAAGCUCUGUGCAGGGCUUUUUGUAACUACCAAAGAUUCAGGGAAUGAGGCAAUGCUCCCAUUAUUACAGUGCUAUCAUCUGAAUGUUUGCGUCCUCUCAAAUUCAUAUAUUGAAAUCCUAACUCCCAAGGUGAUGGCAUUAGGAGGUGGGGCCUUUGGGAGGUGAUGAGAAUGGAGCCCUAGUGAAUAGAAUUAUUGCCUUUAUAAGAACUGAUCCACAGAGCACCCUUCUGCCAUGUGAAGACAGAGCAAAAAAACAGACUCAGGAACUUGAUCUCCACCACACACUCAGUCUGCUGGCUCCUGAUCUAGGACUUCCAGAUUCCAGAAUUAUGAGGAAAAAAUAUGUUGUUUACAAGCCACCCAGGCACUGAAAUUCUGUUAUUGUAGCCUGCAUAGACUAAGAGAUACACAGAAAUAACUCUAUACCUACAUCAUAUUCUAAUGUUUUCAGGGCUCAUUUACAUGGAGUCUUUUUCACCUGAUUCUUCCAAAAUUGACAGGAAACAAAGGGCACAGGUGUCCUCAUCUCUGCUUUUCAAAAGGAGAACAGGAAGUGAGGCUGGAGGCGAGUAAUUCGCAAGAGGAAAAGCAAA